CCCUUAGAUGCUCUGGGCCGCACGCGCGCUACACUGAUGAACGCAACGAGACCACCUGUACCGAAAGGCAUGGGUAAACUUGUGAAAGUUCAUCGUGAUGGGGAUAGAUUAUUGCAAUUAUUAAUCUUCAACGAGGAAUUCCUAGUAAGCGCGAGUCAUCAGCUCGCGUUGAUUACGUCCCUGCCCUUUGUACACACCGCCCGUCGCUCCUACCGAUUGAAUGGUCCGGUGAAAUCUUCGGAUUGCUGGAUAGGACUUCAUUGACCUAUCUGCGAGAAGUUGCUUGAACCUUAUCAUUGAGAGGAAGGAGAAGUCGUAACA
rnacentral:rRNA from 1 species